rnacentral:sRNA from 1 species
GCCAGGCGUGGUGGCUCACGCCUGUAAUCCCAGUACUUUGGGAGGCCGAGGCAGGCGAUCACCUGAGGUCAGGAGUUUGAGACCAGCCUGACCAACAUGGAGAGACCCUGCCUCUA